AAUACCAUCAUUCACAACUAUGGAUUUGUAUGUAUAUCUGUGUGUGUGCUUGUGUUCUUCUCACUCUGUCAUUUAGGUUAGUGUUGUUGAUCCAUCCUCAGUUAUCUCCUAUCACAGCCAUUAAACUCUGUCAUUUAGGUUAGUAUUGUGGAGUAACUACAAUGUUGUUGAUCCAUCCUCAGUGUUCUCCUAUCACAGCCAUUAAACUCUGUCCUUUAGGUUAGUAUUGUGGAGUAACUACAAUGUUGUUGAUCCAUCCUCAGUGUUCUCCUAUCACAGCCAUUAAACUCUGUGACUAUUUUAAAGUCA